rnacentral:rRNA from 1 species
CCCUUAGAUGUUCUGGGCCGCACGCGCGCUACACUGAUGCAUUCAACGAGUCUAAAACCUGCUCUGAUAGGGGUGGGUAAUCUUUUGAAUGUGCAUCGUGAUUGGGAUAGAUGAUUGCAAUUUUUCAUCUUCAACGAGAAAUGCCUAGUAAACGCAAGUCAUCAGCUUGCAUUGAUUACGUCCCUGCCCUUUGUACACACCGCCCGUCGCUCCUACCGAUUGAAUGAUCCGAUGAAUAUCAUGGAUUGAGGAUGCAAGUAGGUUAGCCUAUCUUCAUCUUCGAGAAGUGAAGUAAAUCUUAUCAUUUAGAGGAAGGAGAAGUCGUAACA